UUCAGCUACCAAGACAGAAUAUUUGCGAUGUAACUGAACGAUGAAAACAAAUACAUCAACUCAAAUACGUCGCUAUUCCUGGCAGUUUAAGAGCGUCACGGUGGCUUAGUGAGCCCUUGUGUUGGCCGGGAUUUUCCGGCGUGGAUUCCCCUUAUCAGUGGUGUUGGUCGACAGAGGGCCUAGUAAAGACCGCUGUCUAGUCGAUCGGAUGGGACGAAAAACCGAGGUCCCACAUUGGUGUGCCGUUGCGCCGCUGUUUGGGCAAAAUUUCUGUCAUAGCACAGCGUAUGCUGCAUGCCCGUUUUCAUUAGCCCAUGCAGCCAGAGCAAAAAAGUGGGUGGACACGUAGUGACGGGUGUCUUGUACGAAGCAGGUUCUGCUGGUACUUUCUAGAAUACUUGAUAACACUUCUCGUAUUUAGGAUGAUCACGUAGCUAAUUUUCACUGUUCUAAAAUAUUACACUGCAACCAAAACUCAAAGCACAAUAAGCCAAGAAUAAUUAUUCUUCAUUCAUUUGUGACCCCACAUUUUAAAUGACUUACAGCCUUUAUUUGGCUAUGGAAAUCGAUAUACGUCUUGAUAAAAGUAAUGAAACCUCGAUCAACAAGUUAGACCGGAUUAAACAACAACAAAUUGAUCGUGUCUGCAGAUACAAGACUAUAAUAGAAACAGCAUAAAAAGCAAUACGAAAUUUGAAUAACACAAUUGACGUUUGAACUGAUAUCAUGGGUAACUGGUUUUCAACAUUGUCCUCAUACAUACCAUAUUUCCCUGGCAAGCAGGAGCAGGUGACCUUGACUCAACAUACUGAACUUGAACCGGAUGUUGAGAGAAUUGCACCCCCGACUGAAAUAGAAGUUGCUACGUCAUGUGAGCGAACGUUGUAUCAAGCUGAUGCGUGUGUCAAAGUCGAAGGUCAUAAGAAAUAUAUACCGUAUUAUAAAUUUACAUCUGAGGAUGUCCCCAGUGAAUAUCAGAAUGAUCGUUUAUUUAAGUAUAUUAUCAAUGUUGAAAACGAGUUGUCCGAAUUGCAGUUAAAGUAACGGAGCUAGACAUUUGGUACGGAACCGGGGUCGUUACCAAGUACAGGGGUCAACAGGUCAUUGCUGUCCCACGUUCGUUGCUUCCUUCCGAAACCAUGGCAACACAGACUGAUAUUGACUUUUUCUAUGAAACAUCAGAUUAUAAAGGCGUGUUCAAAAGUAAAGGAACAGGUCUCAUAGAUUUUCCUAAUAACCAGGAGUUGACCCUUAUGACAUUUGACCCAGCACCCGAGGUCAUUUGUAAGUCGUAUAUCCCUGACAUCGACAGGUUCAAGGUGGAGGUAACGGUGACUGACGAGGAUGAUAACUUACGGUCAGGAGAGGCGGAAGUUUUCACAGAAGAAGGGGAGUAUUACGUCAUGACUAAUCCAGAAUUAAUAGAUACGGACUUCCAGGCAGAAAAUUGUCAGAUUAAGUUCUGUAUAGAUGGCUCACUCCCACCGAGCGCAGGAACCGGUGUUUUCUACAUGGACGAGACAGACACUAUCAUAUCAUUUGACCCGGUUCCUGAGGUCAUUAAAAGAGAACUUACCAAACGUGAUGCAUUGUGGCAUAAUGGUGGUGAUGUUCCCGUACGUCCCUUUAUUAUAUCACAUCCGCAUGGAACGCAGAAAUCUAUUUCCAUAGGAACGGCAUUUUCGGAGAUUCAAAAAGAAAUGGUGGCAAGAAGUGAUUUAAAGGAUAUUAUAACACCCGGAUACGUCAGUGAUAUGGAGGAUAGUGAAUAUAUUAAGAAAAAUAUAUUAGUUCACACAGCUAGCACAUGUCCUGGGUCGUGCGGUGGACUUGUUAUAGCUGUGGGAGACGAUUCAAAAAUAAGGGGCGGUUACUCUCAAGCCUUUAUUCAUUUACAAGGACAUGAGUCAGAAUUGUUGAAACUACAGACUGGAUCUGAAAAUAUCAAUGUAUCCACGCUGAUAGGCUGGAUUUAAAUUGAAAGUAAUGUUAGUUUUAAUGUUAAUAUCUUUUAAUGACUACUUAUUUGCUAAAGCCAUGUGUAUUUAGACUUAGAGUGGAGGGGGCGUUGAGACAUGAAAUCAAUGCUACAAAAAAAUAAAUUGUGAAUCAUCUGUAGCUGCACCCAUUUUAAUACAAAAUUAGGUUUAUGCUGUAAUGAAUCUGGCGAAAGAGACUGGUAGACUGGAGUAAAUUCAGUAGUGAUUUGAACUUAAAGUCAGAUGUUAUUUACGUUUCGUUUUGUUUUGUGUGUUAAAUUCCGGAACUAAAAUAAACGCAACCAAAUUGCAAUUGAAAGGGAAAUAAACUUUUGUGAACUUGAAAAUCAACACAGACCCCUUAAUAACGAUUUUAUUUUUUACUUUUAAUAUUAUACUAUAACUUAUAAGAAUAUAUUUAUACGUCUCAAUCUAAA